CUGACUUUACAACCGUAGAUAUAUCUGAGAUAAACAGGGAAUAUACACAACAUGAAUCAAUAUUACUGCUGUUACUUUUUCUCCUGGACAAAAUGGAGGAACACAAAUGCUGGAUUUAAUGUUGAACACUGACUGUUCUGUUCCUAAGAGGAAAUCUGAUACACAGAAGAAAUACUAAUGACAAAUAUCUAGAUUUGAGAUACAAUUUAUAUUUUUUUAUGAAUUGUAUAAACAGCCCAUAUGAAAUGUUUAUUUUACCUCGAAAGAUGUUAAAUGGUAUUUGUGUUUAGUGUGAUUCUGUAUGAGGGAUUUUCACUGUUACAGCUGAAGCAUCACAGCACAGAAAGGUUUUUGUACCAGCAGUAAUAGGGAUUGUAUCACUGUGGUGGACUUUUGGUAGCGGCACCAGACUAGAUGUUGGAAGUAACAGUUCCCCCACCCUCACCGUCCUGCCCCCCUCUAGUGAGGAGCUGUCCAGUACAACAACAGCCACACUGAUGUGUCUGGCCAACAAGGGCUUCCCCUCAGACUGGACCAUAAGAUGGAAAGUGGACGGCAACAGCAAGAAUCAGGAGGCCAGUUCUAGGGUCCUGGAGAAGGAUGGCCGGUACAGCUGGAGCAGCACCCUGACUCUCACUGGCCAGGAGUGGACCAAGGCAGGAGAGGUGACCUGUGAAGCCCAGCAGAUAUCCCAGACUCCGGUCACCAAGACCCUGAAGAGGGCUGACUGUUCUGGGUAGAACCCCUCAGUCACACACCCAUGUGGAGAGAGGACGCUGGUUCCUCGGCUUUGACUUGCUUUGUUCUAAGAUCAGUUGUUCUCUGAUUUGGUGAUCACUCUCGUGUAGACUAACAGGGAGCUUGGCUUGAGUUUAUGUGUCAAUCCAUUCUGUAGAAUGAGAUUUUGUUCGUUUUAGAUUUGAUGUGAUCUGCUUUUAUUCACUAUCAUGUUCGCUUUGAUUCUUCGAUUAUGUAAUAAUGGAUUAAAAUAAAGUUUUCUUUUUGGAAUGCA